rnacentral:miRNA from 1 species
UACAAUCGCCUUCCGGGUGCCUUGA